CCUACGGGUAGCAGCAGUGGGGAAUAUUGGACAAUGGGCGAAAGCCUGAUCCAGCCAUGCCGCGUGUGUGAAGAAGGCCUUCGGGUUGUAAAGCACUUUCAGUGGGGAAGAAAGCCUUGGGGCUAAUACCCUCGAGGAAGGACAUCACCCACAGAAGAAGCACCGGCUAACUCCGUGCCAGCAGCCGCGGUAAUACGGAGGGUGCGAGUGUUAAUCGGAAUUACUGGGCGUAAAGCGCGCGUAGGCGGUCUGAUAAGCCGGUUGUGAAAGCCCCGGGCUCAACCUGGGAACGGCAUCCGGAACUGUCAGGCUAGAGUGCAGGAGAGGAAGGUAGAAUUCCCGGUGUAGCGGUGAAAUGCGUAGAGAUCGGGAGGAAUACCAGUGGCGAAGGCGGCCUUCUGGACUGACACUGACGCUGAGGUGCGAAAGCGUGGGUAGCAAACAGGAUUAGAUACCCCAGUAGUC
rnacentral:rRNA from 1 species